ACGGGAGGCAGCAGUGGGGAAUAUUGGACAAUGGGGGCAACCCUGAUCCAGCGACGCCGCGUGAGUGAAGAAGUAUUUCGGUAUGUAAAGCUCUAUCAGCAGGGAAGAAAAUGACGGUACCUGACUAAGAAGCCCCGGCUAACUACGUGCCAGCAGCCGCGGUAAUACGUAGGGGGCAAGCGUUAUCCGGAUUUACUGGGUGUAAAGGGAGCGUAGACGGCGAUGCAAGUCUGAAGUGAAAGCCCGCGGCUUAACUGCGGAACUGCUUUGGAAACUGUAUUGCUAGAGUGUCGGAGAGGUGAGUGGAAUUCCCAGUGUAGCGGUGAAAUGCGUAGAUAUUGGGAGGAACACCGGUGGCGAAGGCGGCUCACUGGACGAUAACUGACGUUGAUGCUCGAAAGCGUGGGGAGCAAACAGGAUUAGAUACCCUGGUA
rnacentral:rRNA from 1 species